UAACUGCGAGUGAAGCGGCAAAAGCUCAAAUUUGAAAUCUGACGUUUUUGACGUCCGAAUUGUAAUUUGGAGGGAUAUCUUCGGAGCCGGCGCCGUCCUAAGUUCUUUGGAACCAGACAUCACAGAGGGUGAGAAUCCCGUACCUGGAUGGCUGUCCUGCUCCAUGUGAAGUGUCUCCGACGAGUCGAGUUGUUUGGGAAUGCAGCUCAAAAUGGGUGGUAAAUUUCAUCUAAAGCUAAAUAUUGGCGAGAGACCGAUAGCGCACAAGUAGAGUGAUCGAAAGAUGAAAAGCACUUUGAAAAGAGAGUCAAAUAGUACGUGAAAUUGUUGAAAGGGAAGCGCUUGAGACUAGAUUCAGCCGGCGGUCAUCAGCCAUGUUUUUAUGUGGUGCACUUGCCGUCGGUUGAGCCAGCAUCGGUUCUGAUGGCGGGAUAAAGGUUCCAGGAAUGUGGCUCCGCCAUCUGGUGGAGUGUUAUAGCCUGAAGCGCAAUGCCGCCUGUCGGGACCGAGGACCGCGCUUAUGCUAGGAUGCUGGC
rnacentral:rRNA from 1 species